rnacentral:rRNA from 1 species
UACGUAGGGACCAAGCGUUGUUCGGAUUUACUGGGCGUAAAGGGCGCGUAGGCGGCGUGGUAAGUCACUUGUGAAAUCUCCGAGCUUAACUCGGAACGGUCAAGUGAUACUGCUGUGCUAGAGUGCAGAAGGGGCAAUCGGAAUUCUUGGUGUAGCGGUGAAAUGCGUAGAUAUCAAGAGGAACACCUGAGGUGAAGACGGGUUGCUGGGCCAACACUGACGCUGAUGCGCGAAAGCCAGGGGAGCAAACGGG